rnacentral:rRNA from 1 species
GACGAACGCUGGCGGCGUGCCUAAUACAUGCAAGUAGAACGCUGAAGGAGGAGCUUGCUUCUCUGGAUGAGUUGCGAACGGGUGAGUAACGCGUAGGUAACCUGCCUGGUAGCGGGGGAUAACUAUUGGAAACGAUAGCUAAUACCGCAUAAGAGUAGAUGUUGCAUGACAUUUGCUUAAAAGGUGCAAUUGCCUCACUACCAGAUGGACCUGCGUUGUAUUAGCUAGUUGGUGGGGUAACGGCUCACCAAGGCGACGAUACAUAGCCGACCUGAGAGGGGGAUCGGCCACACUGGGACGGAGACACGGCCCAGACGCCUACGGGAAGCAGCAGUAGGGAAUCGUCGGGAAGGGGCGGAAGUCUGACCGAGCAACGCCGAGUGAGUGAAGAAGGUUUUCGGAUCGGAAAGCUCGGUUGCAAGAGAAGAACGAGUGUGAGAGUGGAAAGUUCACACUGUGACGGUAUCUUACCAGAAAGGAACGGCUAACUACGUG